rnacentral:misc_RNA from 1 species
AACGCACAUUGCGCCCCCUGGUAUUCCGGCGGGCAUGCCUGUUCGAGCGUCAUUUCUAUCCUCAAGCUCUGCUUGGUAUUGGGCCCUGGCUUGCAAAGCCUGCCCGAAAAACAGCGGCGGUGCGGCCGGAAUCACAGCGCAGUGACUUCUAUUCUCGCUGAUUUGAUUUCCGGACGACGCCAGCCGGGCAACAGCCAAUUUUUUUUUUUUACGAUUGACCUCGGAUCAGGUAGGGAUACCCGCUGAACUUAA